rnacentral:tRNA from 1 species
GCCGAUUUAGUAUAUUUUAGUGCAUGGGAUUGUAGCUCCCGGGGAAGAGGUUAUUCUGGUCGGAG